GGUAUAGCUCAAGUGGUAGAGCACAUGGUUAGCAUGCAUGAGGUCCUGGGUUCAAUUCCCAGUACC
rnacentral:tRNA from 1 species